GCUGGGCGUGGUGGCGCAUGCCUUUAAUCCCAACUACUUGGGAGGCUGAGGCAGGAGAAUUGCUUGAACCUGGGAGGCAGAGAUUGCAGUGAGCUGAGAUCAUGCCACUGCACUAUAUCCUGGGUAACAGAGUAAGACUCUGUCUCAA
ensembl:misc_RNA Metazoa_SRP Metazoan signal recognition particle RNA